GCUUAAAUAAUUUAAUUUAAAAUGUCAGUUUGUGGUUCUGGAUAUGUAAUUUUUUUUUACUUUAGGUU
rnacentral:tRNA from 1 species